rnacentral:rRNA from 1 species
GUGCCAGCCGCCGCGGUGAUACCGGCAGCCCGAGUGAUGACCGAUAUUAUUGGGCCUAAAGCGUCCGUAGCUGGCCGCGCAAGUCCGUCGGGAAAUCCACCCGCCCAACGGGUGGGCGUCCGGCGGAAACUGCGUGGCUUGGGACCGGAAGGCGCGACGGGUACGUCCGGGGUAGGAGUGAAAUCCCAUAAUCCCGCACGGACCACCGAUGGCGAAAGCACUUCGAGAAAACGGAUCCGACAGUGAGGGACGAAAGCCAGGGUCUCCAACCGGAUUAGAAACCCCAGUAGUCC